AAGGGAGACCUAAUUCAGGUAGGAGACGAAAAAAAGUAGUCCCUACCAAGAAUCAAUCCCAAAAGGUCGGAGCGAGGCAAAAUUGGCUUUCAAACUAGGUUCUGGGUUCACAUAAGACCUGAAUCAGGAACAAGGGCUAUUAGCUCAGGUGGUUAGAGCGCACCCCUGAUAAGGGUGAGGUCCCUGGUUCGAGUCCAGGAUGGCCCACCUGCACAGGUGGCAAAAACAAAGAAAAGAAGCUCCGAAUCAGCACCUUAUCUUACUCAUAUAGUAAGAGAGAAUGCUGGCUCUGAGUUCAGAGUCCAGAGGAACCUUGAAAACUGCAUAGAGCUAGGUGAAAAAGCCAAAGAAGAAGACCGCAAGGUCAAGCUAAUAAGGGCUAACGGUGGAUACCUAGGCAC
rnacentral:tRNA from 1 species